GUCAAACUGGUGGGGGUUAUUUCUCCAGAAUUUGGGGCCACAGAAGAGGCAGUGAUGGAUCUCUUGGUGGUGCUGCCCCUGGCUUUAAUACAGCUGCUGGUUUGACCAGCAGCUUCUCUGGAGUUGCUGCUGGCUCAUCGGCUGCCCAAGAUGGCGACAUUGCUCAGAUGGUUGCCAACCUGCUGAGCUUGAGCCCCAAUGAACAUCGUCCUGUAAUGCAGUUUCACUGGAGCUCUCCCCUGGUUCCUUUAGGAAUGGCUGAGAAACGCCCCGUAUACCCUUCAUCCCUCAUCAUCCACUCCAACAACGGCUACCAGAGAGCAAGAGACUUCCGCUCAGACUCCAAAUACACCAAGGAGACGUUUGACAACAUUCCUCAACCUGGAAAACCACAGAACCCAGACUCUGGGUCUAAAGGACACUAGAAGAGCUAAUGAGGUGACACAAGCAGAAAAUUGGAGUUGAAUCCUGUAAAGUUUCUCAAUUAAAAAAAAUUUGUGAAGAUGCCA